UUCAAAAAUUAUAUGUUUAUUGUGACUUUUUAAAUUCUGUCAUUAGUUACACGUAUGUUGUAGUGAGAGUUUUUCUUUUGUUUUUAUACAAAUUCAAAACAUUUUGCUUAGUAUUCUCGACCUGUGUUUAGUGCCAAGUUACUUCGUCCUCCUCCUACACCUUUUUUCAGUCCAAACGUAAUAAAUAACUAACAGACUAAUACAAAAGAGAAAGACAAAAGAAAAUCGCGGGGAAAUGCCAACGACAAGAAUGGGUCAUCGGAAUAUCUGUUGUGAUGGCUGUCAAAGACAUAACUUCCAUGGGAGGCGCUUUAAGUGUUUGCGCUGUUUGCAAGAACAAGACAUGGAUCUCUUGAAUAUGCAGUCGCAGUGGCAACAGACGUCGCAGCAGUCGUCACAACAGUGUUAUACAACAGCUUCACGAAUUGAGCCGUCAUCUUCCUGACUUACUUCCAAAUAUGGAAAUGACUGAAGAGGAAUUUAUGAACACCGAUUUUGGGGCAAUAGCCGCCGCCCUAUAGAGAUUAUAGUACUCCUCGACCAGUCAAUCGCGAUGAGGCCCCAAUAAUUCCAGUAAUUCCAUUACCUAUCUUAGGACUCCAACUGAAGUACCAUGUUGUCCUGAUGCUGAUCGCUAUUUGCAAUGGAUCAAUAAAGAAGAAGAACAUAAACAGGAUGAUUCACCCUCUAACGCGAUGUCGUUGAUGUCUUUGCCGUGGACCAGAAUCUGGAAGGUUUCAAAAAUCAAUCAAGUCCGAGAAAUCGAAGGGGUCGUCAUUGAUGAGAGUAAAGUCGAAAAAGCGAAAAAAUAUACUCACCAUGAUCGUUAUGAGAAUAAGGAGGAGGAUAUCGAUUAAAAAAAGGAGAAGCAUUUCGCAUAAUUAUCUCUCACGCAGAUCGGCUUUGUUACGCGUUUUAUUUUAUAUAGUCAUACCCAAAGAAUUAUUUUGUUUUUUUUAGUAUUUGGUUGAAGUUAAUUUUUUGAGACAAAAUUCGUAUAAAUUAUAUUGUGAAAAUCCA